rnacentral:rRNA from 1 species
UCCUGCAGUUCUCACCUGGUUUCCCAUUGAAGCUAGGCAGGGUGAGUCUGGCCAGUACCUGGAUGGGAAACCUCCUGGGGGAAAACUAAGGUUGCUGCUGGAA